GCCUGAUGGUUACCGCGGCGGGCCGGGGACUCCCGGGAGGCAGCGGGCGACGCCGCACCGGGGCCUGCGGGAGGGGCCCUGCGGCGAGCCUGGGGCCGCGGGGCAUGUCGGUCCUUGGGGGGGUGGCGGGAAAGGCGGGAAGAGCGAAAGGGAGCGCGGCGCUGUGCCGGGCUGUACAGCGACACAGGACGAGAUGUUGGCUGGGCUUGGUGUCCCUCGGCCCCCCCUCAAAAAAAAGGCAUAUUGUGUCUGGGAAUUCAAGAAGGACAGGGAACUGCUGGAGAGAGUCCAGCGCAGAUCAACAAAGGUGAUGAGGGGAGUGGAGAACCUCCUGUAUGAGGAAAAGCUGAGGGAGCUCUUUAGCUUGGAGGAGACCGAAGGCCAAAUUCAGCAUGAGUGGCCAGGCUCGCUGGAAUUCCAGGCUGAGUCAAAUGAACUUCUCUUAACCUGGUUGCUUGGCUACGGGAGGCCUUGAAGACUGGUACAAGGAGAUAAAGAGGAAACUCAGCAGAGGCUGCAAACUGUCUAGAUAAGAACAGCAAAACAAGCUGCCUGGAAGAGGGAGAAAGAGAAUCCAGUAAGAAACAAGCCCCCAGAGCCGGAAUUGCCAUUGGACCAAAGGGCACGUGGACAAGGCAUGAAGGACACUUGAAGAGCGGGUUGCGCAGAUUGUGAGGGCUUAAAAGCCCAAGCCUCUUUUGUCUUGGGAUCCCUCUCCUUGAGAGGCACCCAGUCCGGACUGUUUCUUUGCUGUACCUUUCAAUUUUAUUUUUUUUUUAAUUUAUUUUUGGUGGUUUUUUAUUAGGUCUUUUAAUGAAAUUGAUUUUUUUUAAGCACAGAUAUUUGAGACUGUGCUACGGGAAACUUAUGGUUGAGAGCAUUUCUUUAACAGAGCCGAAAUGAGUAGGGGCAGCUUCAGUGAAGCAUUACAAAACAACAGCAACAGAUUAUUUUAUUUUCAUAGCUUAUUUUCCAGUUACUUACAUUUCAGUACUGUUCUGUCUGUGCUUUCUGUUUUUCUGUAAGCCGUAUGUGCUGCCUUUGCAAGUCAGUAGGUGCAACGGCUUGCAGAACUAACUGCCGUUGUGUGUACAGAUAUGACAGGAAGCCCUUAGGUUGUAUGGACACAUCAAAACAAUGGAAAUAAUCUGAUCUGUCCAGCAUUUAUUACAAACUUCAUUAUACAGUGACCGUGUUUCCUGUUGCAUUUUAUCAUUCUAGAUUUUAUUAGACUUUGUUUCUUCCGUAGAGUAUCGUCUCAUAGUAAUUGAGGUAGUUGGUUAAGUGGUUUGCAUGUGUGAGUCAUUAGGUUUUCAAACUACAUUUAAAGUUUCUGAAUUUUGUCCUCUAAGGUUUUUGUCAUCAUCAGACAUUGAUCUUCUCGUUGUAGCUAAAAUUAAAAGUCUUGCUACAGUGAAAGACUAUUUAUUAUUUUCUCUAACUGUUAAAUACACUUCCAUUAAAACGUUA